ACAUCUGCAAUCCCGAUGGCAGCGGGGCUGCUGAGUCCCCCUGAAAAUCCGGCUUGUAAAGUGCUGUUCCCAACACUGCACCCUGAAUUUUGGGGCAAAGCCGAAGUCUCUCCCACCUUCGCCACCACCCGUACGGGGGAGGAAUCCACGCUGCCGGGCCGGCAGCCGGAGCGGGCCCGCGGCCCGGCCAGGCCGCAGGGGGCGGUCCGGGCCCGGCGCCGCUCGCCCGGGCGCAGGCGCCGCCGUGGGCCCGUGGCGGAGGGCAGCUCGCUCCGGGACGGUGGCUCCAUGCGCUGCCAGGUCUCGGUGCUGUAUUUCGCCAGGAGCGCGGAGCUGGCGGGGCUGCGCUCUGAGACCCUCUCGGUGCCACGGGAGAUCACCUCUCUGCAGCUCUGGGAGGAGAUCGUCAAGGUCCACCCCAGGCUUGCUGUCAUCCGAGAUCAAGUGGUAUUUGCCGUUCGGCAGGAGUACGUGCUUCUUGGAGAUCAGCUGCUGGUCCUGCAGCCUGGAGACGAGGUUGCCAUCAUCCCACCAAUUAGUGGAGGCUGAACCUUCCCUGGUUCUAUUAGGUCCGAAGAUGUGAUUGCAAUUCUCUCCUGCCACCCCAGUACUCAUUUGAGAGAGCCCAACUUGUGUUUCUGUCUGGAGAGUGCAGUUGUGCUGAGCAGAAACUAUAUGCCAGUGCACCAGUAAAUGAUUAACAUGUAUGCAGUAAAUGGAAGACACUUUUCAGAGAGUGCGAUAUGGAAGAAAGCGAAGAUGUGCCAAAAGAUUUUAUCAAGCUCAAGUUUGAAAAGCUGUCUGUAGAUGAAGUGUCAGAGCUGGUUGUUUCGCCAUACUGUGGGGCAGUGUCUCUGUUCAUUGGUACUACAAGAAAUAAUUUUGAAGGAAAAAAAGUGAUUCACUUAGAAUAUGAAGCAUAUACUUCAAUGGCAGAGACUGAAAUAAAGAAAAUCUGCAGAGAUGUUAGACAGAAAUGGCCUUCAGUCAAACAUAUUGCAGUGCACCAUAGACUUGGUUCAGGGAAGAUUUCUUGCUGAAACUAGCAGGAUUUGCUGAAAUCCUAAAGGAACUUGGGAUGUGAUUGCAAAGGCGUGGUUCCAAUAACUGAAGCAAGUGUAAUUAUUGCAGCCUCCUCUCCACACAGAGCAGAAUCCCUUGAAGCUGUAAUGUACUGCAUCAAUACCUUAAAAGCAUCCGUCCCAAUAUGGAAAAAGUGGAUCAAGAGAAGGACUGCUGGAACAGUAUGUUACUGUAUACUCCGGACCUGCCAGUUCUAAGGGUUAAGUUUGUUUGAAAGGCAAAAAUUUACAAGAAAAGGCACUAUAAAUCAUUUUUGAAAAAACCAAACUGUCCUGCAGUUACUCUUGCAAUAGAGUAGAAUCUGUAAAAUAUUUUCAUCUAUAUAAAGACACUUUCAUUAAAAA